rnacentral:rRNA from 1 species
GAGUUUGAUCCUGGCUCAGGAUGAACGCCGGCGGUGUGCCUAAUACAUGCAAGUCGAGCGCACUGGCCCAACUGAUAUGACGUGCUUGCACUGAAUUGACGUUGGAUUACCAGUGAGCGGCGGACGGGUGAGUAACACGUGGGCAACCUGCCCUGGAGCGGGGGAUAACAUCUGGAAACAGGUGCUAAUACCGCAUAACAACGAAAACCACAUGGUUUUCGUUUCAAAGAUGGUUUCGGCUAUCACUUCAGGAUGGGCCCGCGGUGCAUUAGCUAGUUGGUAAGGUAACGGCUUACCAAGGCAAUGAUGCAUAGCCGAGUUGAGAGACUGAUCGGCCACAAUGGAACUGAGACACGGUCCAUACUCCUACGGGAGGCAGCAGUAGGGAAUCUUCCACAAUGGGCGCAAGCCUGAUGGAGCAACACCGCGUGAGUGAAGAAGGGUUUCGGCUCGUAAAGCUCUGUUGUUAGAGAAGAACGUGCGUGAGAGCAACUGUUCACGCAGUGACGGUAUCUAACCAGAAAGUCACGGCUAACUACGUGCCAGCAGCCGCGGUAAUACGUAGGUGGCAAGCGUUAUCCGGAUUUAUUGGGCGUAAAGCGAGCGCAGGCGGUUUGAUAAGUCUGAUGUGAAAGCCUUUGGCUUAACCAAAGAAGUGCAUCGGAAACUGUCAGACUUGAGUGCAGAAGAGGACAGUGGAACUCCAUGUGUAGCGGUGAAAUGCGUAGA